rfam:Triticum urartu cultivar G1812 contig1416811, whole genome shotgun sequence.
AAAUUACUCCCUCCGUCCGAAAUUACUUGUCGCACAAAUGGAUAAAAGUGGAUGUACCUAAAACUAAAAUAUGUCUAGAUACAUUCAUUUCUUCGACAAGUAAUUCCGGACGGAGGGAGUACAUU